CAGUUAAAGAGCAGAUUGUAGAAGAAAGAAACCCCUGGGUUAAACUGGUCUGUCUACUGCAUAAUGCUGAACUCUAACAUGUGUCCUCAGGGAAGGACCUGAUUGGUGUCCAGAACCUGCUGAAGAAGCACCAGGCUCUGCAGGCUGAGAUCACAGGUCAUGAACCUCGCUUCAAGGCUGUCACCCAGAAAGGAGAGACCAUGGUGGAGGAAGGUCACUUCGCUGGUGAGGAAGUGAAGACUAAACUGUGGGAGCUUCAUGGACGUUGGGACACGCUGAAGGCCAAGGCGUCCCAGAGGAGGCAGGACCUGGAGGACUCUCUGCAGGCCCAGCAGUACUUUGCGGAUGCUAAUGAGGCCGAGUCCUGGAUGAGGGAGAAGGAGCCCAUUGUUGGAAGUCCAGACUAAGGGAAAGAUGAGGACUUGGCCGAGGCUCUCCUGAAGAAGCACGAGGCCCUGAUGUCGGACCUGUCGGCUUACGGCAGCAGCAUCCAGGCCCUGAAGGAGCAGGCCCAGUCCUGCAGGCAACAAGAUAAUCAGCAGGUGCUUUUGUCCUGCAGGACCUGAAGGCCAACGAGUCCCGCCUGAGGGACAUCAACAAGGUGGCAUCUGAACUGGAGUCAGAAGGUCUGAUGGCUGAGGAGGCUCCUAUGGUUCAGGCUCAGGUGAGCGUCACCUGUCUGCAGCAGCUGGUCCCUCUCACUUCCUGGUUUAACUCUGCUCGUCUCUGUUUGUAGCAACAAGAACAUCUGGGUUCUGCUCCUGGAAAGGUGCAUGUUGUCCUCCGCCUCCACCAGAACCAGACGUGGUGUUUUUGUUACCACUCAUUUGUUUGUUUGUUUACAGGAUGAAGCCGACUCUAACACGGCGUCACCCUGGAAGGUGAGUUCAUUCAGCUGAUCAGAGGUCACCUCUGAUGGCCGCAGUCACGGCCGACCGUGCUGACAUCACACAGGAAUUCAGGUGACCCGGCAGGCACCAGGUGCUGGUGAGAGUGGGGACAUGUCAGCUGGUUGCCAUGGCUACAGUUAUCUUUAUGCAUCUGUAUGACUGCUGACUGGUGUGUUUCCUGUGACCUUUGACCUCAGACCGUACGGUUGGGCGUUCAGACGACGGCUAACUUUAAUUCCAUCAAGGUAAGAGGAAGCUCUUCUCUUCCUGUCUGAGCGAUCCGUCUCCAGGUUUCCUCGUCCGGCGUCCAGCCCGCUGGCGUCCACCUUCAUCUCACCUUCAUCUCAUCUCACUUCAUUUAUAGUGCAAUACUUUCACAUUAUCAUUUUCCCACACUUCUGUAUACCUGUAUUUUGUUGUUUUUCAAUAAAGAAUGACAAAUUAUUUAAGUUUGGUUUUUGUUGCACACAAAUAUAUAUCUGUAAAAAAUAUCUACAAAGCUAAUGUUUACAUAACAAGUAUGAUUGGGUUUUGCAAUAUGGCACUCAAGUUUAUUUUAGUAAGAUUUUCAAACCAAGUAAAGUUAGUAAAGAACACAUUUCUAUUGUCUGCUAAGAAACUGUUGGGAUUUAAAAUGGGCCUGUUGUACAAAUAACUUGUAAAUGAUUAUUCCUCACUUUUGUCUUAACCAAAGAAAUUCCAGUAAUUGAGCAAAACAUUUAUUUUUAACACUACAUUUUAUAAAACAGGGCGCAAAGUGUCGGCACAUGUAUGUAUGUCGAUGGUCAGCCCCAACCAAACCAGGAGACACAGACGUCAGGGAGGCCAAGGUUGUCUCUGCAGCUCUCUGGGCACCACGCCUCACGUAGCUGUCUCCAAUGAUCCAAAUGGCUAUGGAGGAAAAAAUAACAGGUUUGGCCUAGCUGUUUAAAGUACAAAACCAUACAUGAAGUGGUCAAGACAAGUACUUGGAACUUACACGCUGCGUUGUGUAGCUGACGUUGGAGACACACAGGCUGCCAUGGUGACCUUUUAACAGAUCUAAGAAAAAAAUGUAAUAAAAGAAUGAAACUUAAAAACUCCCAGACCUCAUGUCAUAUUUACUAAUCAGCUAUGGCUGAUUUGUUUGGAUCACAGUGAGUUACACUAAUUCUAAUAUAUUUUUAUUUCUAUUAUACAUACAUACUUUUUAACUGUUAUUUUCACAUGAUUGUUAUCAGGCUCUCUUGUUCUGGUUCUGAUGAUAACUCUGUGUCUUCCAGUAAGUUAUCUUGUGCUUACUUCAUCUCUAUAAUGUCUCUUUACUUUUGGUAAAUUGUACUGAGUCCAGAAUAAAGGCUAGUUGGCUGUACAAGAUACAAACAAGUAUUACGUUUUGGAAAUAUAUGAAACACCGCCAGCAUCUGUUAGAGCCUGUGGCGGGGUGCUGAGGGCCGGCUCCAGCCCAGGAAUGAGCUCUCCACGCCGGCCGGGAGGGUUUGAAACACCGCCAUCCUCUCCUCUGCUGGCUGUUCAUUCUGUUAUGGUUACCGGUGCUUGUGUUGCAAUGUGAAACGCUUGGUCUCAGAUUUUGUAAGAAAGAUAAUAAAAUGUCCCCCCAAAAUACGACUUAAAUAUAUUUUCUCUUCUUCAUGAUACAUUUAAUGGCUGGUGCGACUCAGGAGUGAUAGCGCCGAAAAAAACUGUACUGAAAACUUGCUCAAAGCAAAAUGUUUUCAUUACGGAAAUAAAUUAUAAACUUACCAAUUUAAAACUUUUUAAUACAGGUACUUCUCACGAACAGGCGCAGAAAACCUCCACCUAAACUCCGUGUGAGGGUCAGGUCGAUGGUUGUUCCAGUUAGCUCCGGUUGAAUUGAAGCUAGGUGGCUACAUCCGUUACCUCGGCUCCCACCUCCGCUUUAGCUUUGGGUAAGCCAGGGUUAGCUUCAGGUUAGCUCGUAGCUAGUUCGUCACUCGAUCCCAGCCUUACAGCCCCACCCUCAGCGCCUCCUCUCUUCCCUUUUAUGGAAUUGUCUGGGCUGGACGGAACCUGUGACACGGUCAAAAUGGCGGUGGUGGCCACCUCCCAUUAUGGACAAAAAACGUGUUAUUGGAGCCUAUGGAAUCUGUUUGUCCAGUAUGUACAGUCUAUGGUUCUGUCAGAGCUGUAGAGAGAGUUAUGACCUAUAUUUAUGUCGAUGGUUACGACACGGAAUGCGGGAGUCACGUGGUUCAUGUAGCUUCGAAUAGUUCCAAACAGCCCCGCUGCUGCAUUGACUGCAGUUCAUUUUCAGUGUUUCGGAAUGAGCUCUCCGGUAAGUUGAUGAAAUGUCAUCAUUUUGUUGCAUUGUGAAGCGUUAGCUAACCGCUUCGUACCAAAAUAAGCCAACGAUGAUAUUUUAUGUUGCCAGUUUUAGCUAGAUAACCUUUAAUGAGCUAACUGUGUGCAGCUUGUUGGUUGUGAGCAGGAGGACGAGCUGUAGACGGGUUUCUUUCAGUUUGUUUGAUUCUAUGUUUAAAAAAUAUUCCCCACAGUUUGAAAUAGGUUAUAAACUUUUUAUAUUAUUAGUUUUAUUUGGGAUUUUUUGUACAAUACGUUGCUGGUUGCUGUAUCAACAUGAACAUGCAUCAGAAAUGGAAGCACAAAUGGAGAGACCAAUAAUAAAGAAAAUGUGAUUGUGAAGACAAGUAAUUAUUUAAUAUUUUUCAGUUAAUAACGCUGACUGCAACGAACAGCUGAAGCAUGAGACAAACAGGAUUACGAACGUAAGAAGAUAUGUUGCUCUGUUUUGUGGACUCAAGUAAUAAGAAUAGAAUUAAGAUAUUUAGUCGAACAAUAACUUUUAAAAAUUAGACAUUUUCCAUAAAACUGCUAAUUUCCACUUGCUUUAUAAUAUUAGCUUUUGCAAUUUUGUUAUUGAGGAAUUACAAGAAAGAAGAAUAACAAUAACACAAUUAUCAAUGAAUAAAUGUCAAAGAGUUACUAAAACAAAGAUCUUAUUUAACCAUUAAAGGUUAAACUGUGUUGUGUGUUUUCAUAGUGGCUGAGCGGAGAGCUGACCAGAAACAACGGUGGUGGCAAAUCCCAGUUGGGUCUGUGAUGGAGUGAUGCACGCCUGGAGUGAUUGCCAUCUCAUCCACAGGUUCUAACAUCAGGCAGAGGGAUACUCAUGUCCUGAAGAAACCUGCAGCCUGUUGAACGCACUGAAAAACAGAGUUGUUUUCCAGCUGGGUUCUCUGGUUGCAUAGCCCGUUCCUUUCUCCUCCUGGCCCUGACGCCGGCUCCUCGUGGCUUCCUGGGAUGUCCCUCUCUCCUGAUACCAUCUCAUGUCCCCUCUCACUUUCCCUCAUCUUAUUUGCCUCAUUGCUGCUGCUGCUUUGCUCAUUCUCUGAAGUUAUAAUGGCA